rnacentral:rRNA from 1 species
ACUCCUACGGGAGGCAGCAGUGGGGAAUAUUGCACAAUGGGCGCAAGCCUGAUGCAGCCAUGCCGCGUGUAUGAAGAAGGCCUUCGGGUUGUAAAGUACUUUCAGCCGUGAGGAAGGUGGGUAUGUUAAUAGCAUACUCAUUUGACGUUAGCUGCAGAAGAAGCACCGGCUAACUCCGUGCCAGCAGCCGCGGUAAUACGGAGGGUGCGAGCGUUAAUCGGAAUUACUGGGCGUAAAGCGCAUGCAGGUGGUUUGUUAAGUCAGAUGUGAAAGCCCGGGGCUCAACCUCGGAAUUGCAUUUGAAACUGGCAAACUAGAGUACUGUAGAGGGGGGUAGAAUUUCAGGUGUAGCGGUGAAAUGCGUAGAGAUCUGAAGGAAUACCGGUGGCGAAGGCGGCCCCCUGGACAGAUACUGACACUCAGAUGCGAAAGCGUGGGGAGCAAACAGGAUUAGAUACCCUGAUAGGCUCUGC